CUUCACACUGCAUCCUCGCGACUAAUGACAAUCCUUAACUCUGAUUGAGUUAAAGUCUCUCAUUAGCCGCGCGAACCUCUGCACCGGAAGAUCCUAUUUUAUAAAAAUAUAAAACAACAACAAUAAUAUACUAGCGUAUUUUAUCAUUGCUCUUAGAAAAAAGGGGCCAAUUUGGCCCCUUUC
rnacentral:sRNA from 1 species